AAGUCUGCCAAUUAGUCUGCCUAUCUGAUUGUGUUUCUUCAGAACUUUUGAAAAUCUGGCAAUAGUGAUGCCUGAAGGACAACUAAAUUCUUUCAUGUCCCUGAAAAUGGCUACAAUA
ensembl:snoRNA Gm24894 predicted gene, 24894